GGGAGAGGAGCCCCAGAUCCUCUGUCUGUGCUGUUCCCUUCCUGUCCCAGAACUGUCCUCAUAGUCCCCACCAUGCAGUCUGUCCUCAGUGUGCUUUCCAUCCUGACCCUGCUCCAAGGUGUGCAGGGUGCCCAGCUGGUGGAGUCUGGGGGAGACUUGAGACAGCCUGGCGGGUCUCUGCGCCUCUCCUGUAAAGCCUCCGGAUUGACCUACAGCAGCUACUACAUGCACUGGGUCCGGCAGGCUCCAGGGAAGGGGCUCGAGUGGGUCGCUAGAGUUUAUCAUGAUGGGAACUACAUAGGUUAUGCAGACUCUGUGAAAGGCCGAUUCACCAUCUCCUGGGACAAGGCCAACAGCCUCCUGAGUUUGCAGAUGAACAGCCUGAAAACCGAGGACACGGCCCUGUAUUACUGUGCUACAGACACAGUGAGAGAAACCACAUUCUGGGCCUGUCAGAAACUCUGGGAGGAUUCCUGGGCUGCAGCUGGCUGAGGAAGCAGAGCAGCA